CUGCCCCAUAAUAUCCUUAUAUUUUACAAGAGGGGGUACUUUAUUCACUAUAUAAAAUAUUCCCUUAAACAGUUAGAAAAAGAACAAUAAAUUGGCAGUGAAUAAUCAGAUUUGAGAGGAAAUGAGCUGAGAGCUGAGCCAGUUGAGUCUGACACAUGACUGCAGUUAAUGCUCUCUAAGGCACACCAACCAUAUGAUGGGGAUUUGUGGCUCACUCAAGGGCAUCACCUGACCCAUAAAGGAAUUUUUGCAGUUAGCGUAUGAAAAAAAAGAUUGAAGGAAGUAUGGCAGCCUGGAAAACAUUUUCUUAUGUAGCACCAGUGCAAAAAUGUAAGCUAUUGUACCCGUUUAGUUUGAUGGGUUGUUCUUUCCAGUGUUUUAAAGGAUACUGACACCUUUAACAGUUUGUGCACUUUUAGAAGUGCAAGUUCUAGUACACAGGAACCCCCAUUUGUUUAGUUUCUAACUGUCACUCUAUCAGAGCUGAACAUUAUGCAGCGCAGAACAGGAAAUCCUGUUUUUGACACAAUGUAUAGCACACAAAGGCUGCAUGCAAGUGUCAGUCUCAGAGGGGCUCUCUCUUGUGAACUCUCUACAGUUCUGACAGUCAGAACACUGCCAUGCCCAGACUCUAAUACCAUGUGUCUUUUAGUCCUGAGCAUGACAUAUAAGCAGGGCACCAGAGAAAGCUCUUACCCUAACACUCUGAAGAACACAGAUGCAGGAAAAUGUGACAAGCUCCAGAAAUUGUCUAAGCAGAUGUGCAGUACAAAGCAAGAAUCUCGUCCAAAAGGAAGCUUAGCCGGUUUUACAAACACUGAAGGAGCCUUUAAAAUAAUCGGUUGUCUAGCCAUAAAAAGUUUCAUUGGAAGAUUUCCAUGAACAAAUAAAGCUAGGAAAUGGAAAAGGAAUGAAGACGUAAAGUAAAAGAGUCGAAAAUCAUCACAAUUUCACCAACCAUAUCCUUUUAUUCCCCAGCCGUAUUUAGAAAAUCCAUAGAAACUGCAAAACUUUGGUGCACUAAGACAAGUAUUUAUAUAAAGGGGUGAGAAAAGAACACCACUGUAUACCAGGUAAAAUACAGACGAGAGGAACAGUUUUUGGAUAUUGAUAUCAGUUGAAAACCCAAAUCAAAAAAAUGAAGCACCUAUAUAUAAAUCAACGAGACGUGCUAAAAAUAUAUUUUAGAUUUGUACAAAUAAAUGGAACAAUGCCA